GAUGAACGCUGGCGGCGUGCCUAAUACAUGCAAGUCGAGCGAACAGAUGAGGAGCUUGCUCUCUGACGUUAGCGGCGGACGGGUAAGUACCCCGUGGUUAACCUACCUAUAAGACUGGGAUAACUUCGGGAAACCGGGCCUAAUACCGGAAAAUAUUUUGAACCGCAUGGCUCAAUAGUGAAAGACGGUUUUGCUGUCACUUAUAGAUGGCUCCGCGCCGCAUUAGCUAGUUGGUAAGGUAACGGCUUACCGAGGCAACGAUGCGUAGCCGACCUGAGAGGGUGGUCGGCCACACUGGAACUGAGACAGGGUCCAGACUCCUACGGGAGGCAGCAGUAGGGAAUCUUCCGCAAUGGUCGAAAGCCUGACGGAGCAACGCCGCGUGAGUGAUGAAGGUCUUCGGAUCGUAAAACUCUGUUAUUAGGGAAGAACAAAUGUGUAAGUAACUAUGCACGUCUUGACGGUACCUAAUCAGAAAGCCACGGCUAACUACGUG
rnacentral:rRNA from 1 species